AUCAGCUAAAUAGUUAGAGUAACUUUUAUAAACUGAUUUAAGUAGAUCCAAAAUGAACAGUUUGUUGUACUAACUCACUUGCAAUAAGUACACAUCUGUUUAUCAUUCAUUUUGAGUAUUGUUGCUUUGACCUGUUUGAGUUGUGAUCACUGAUUCAGCCCAAAGAAAUAAAACCCCUCCUUUUUCUGAUGUCAUCACUAAGCUUUGUGCACGAUGCAAGGUGUUUUGCCCGGACUUGUCCACCAUUAGAGGCAAGCGACACAGAAGAAUUUUAGCGGCUACAUUGUGAAAAUUACAAGUGUUUGAUAAGAAGCAGCACACACGGAGAGAUCAUCCACUGCUCUUCUGCCUCUAAAGACAGCCAGUAAAGGCUUCCCACCUGACCUCCUGCAUGACCUGUUUGAAGGUGUCAUUCCAGUGGAGUUGGCGCAUUGCUUAAAAGUGUCUGACUAAAGAAGCAGAACUGAAACAUCAGCAGAUCUCCCCAGCCUUCCGCCAAUGUAAAGAAACUACAACCUCAGAUGGAGCCAACAGAGAGAUUGAAGCUAAGGGUCAUCCUUGAUGCUGAUAAUGCUGAAAGACUAAUUUUACCAUCUUGCCCAAGCAGUGUACAAGCCCUCAUAGAUGAGAUCAGAACUAGGCUAAAGUUGACUUUUGACUUUCGGCUUCAGUUUCACGACCCAGAUUUUGAUAAUGCAUUGUGUAAUUUGGUUGAAAUAGAACACCUGCCAAGCACAGCAUCUGUCAAAGUUGUCAGAUUAGUUGAGCUGGACCAGAUUUCAACCAGCACUGAUGACACAAUCAUUCUGACUGAUAGUACUGAUAGCACAGAUACACCAGAGCGUAUUAGUCGGUGGCCAGAGGUUUUUAUUGUUCCAACAUUUUCUUAUGAGAUGGAACAUGUGCUAAGGGAAGGUAAUGCAGCAUAUGAAAAAGAUGGGACAGUAAUUAGACUCCCUAGAGAUCAAAAACACAACAUACUCGAGACAAUGGGGGAAGAAAUCUUUAGACUGAAGGCAUAUCCUAGUAGCACACAAAUUGGCAAGGCUGCAGAAGCUUUAGUUAGAAAACAUCCCUGUUUAAAGGAGAGAAACUCUGACACCGGGUGGGAA